rnacentral:lncRNA from 1 species
CUCCCCUCCCUGAAGCUGAUAGCAGCUCAUGCUGAGCACUGCACCGAGCUGUGCAGCCGAUCCCCUCCAGAGAAGGGUAGAUUUCACCGGUGUUUAAUAAUAACAUAAUGAAAGCGAAACUCGGUUCCUGUUGGGGCGGGCAGCCCCGGCUGGAGGAGCGCUCCCAGCUCAGGGCCCACCUGGGCGCGGGUCCGCCGGCAACACCGCGCGCAGCACCUGCAGGCAUGGAGCAGCGUGGCUCCCGGGGCAUCGCCGCGUCAUCUUCCGCACAAAAAUGAGCGUGAGGAGGCAGGAGCGCUGUCGCAAUUCCUCCCUAGUAGGGAUUAGGGAGCAGCCUGUUGCCGGCAGCGCUCGGCGUUAGACGCAGCGAGGCGGGGAGCGGCCUCAAUACCGAGGCCUUCCCCUCCCGGAGGGGGCUGGCUGACCGCCCCGGCCGGGGCGGGCCGGAUCAUCCCACCCCGACGGGCGGUCACCUCAGCAGGAGGAGUCGCCGCCGCCGCUUCGCCUUCUCUCCCGCAGGACCUGACGGCAGUAAACCUCGCCGCGCCGAGCCCGUCGCCAUGCAAGCAGGGAAGGCAGCCGGGAACCGGGAGGGCGACAGGCCCCUACAGCUCACCAUGAAGAGGGGCUACGAGGUGCUCCGCGACCCGCAUCUCAACAAGUGGCCAAAAUGGAUCCCUCAGGAAGAGUAAAAGAAAGGGGAGAUCGGUUCGGUUGAAAGGGAUCCU